CUUCUUCGAUCUGUUGCGGACAGAUGAAAUGGAUAUGCGCAUCGAUCCCCCCUGCUGUCAGGAUAGAUCCCUCUCCAGCGAUCACUUCAGUACCCGGACCAAUAACGAUAUCGACGUUGUCCUGAACGUCGGGAUUACCGGCUUUACCUAUCUUGGCAAUACGACCUUCUUUAACACCGACAUCCGCUUUAACGAUUCCCCAGUAAUCCAAAAUAAGUGCAUUAGUGAUCACCAGAUCCAUCGCAAUCUCAUUGGUGCACUGGCUCUGGCCCAUCCCGUCACG
rnacentral:sRNA from 1 species